GGCUGGUCCAAGUGCAGUGGUGUUUACCAGUUCAGAUUUCUAUGUUCCUUUUCCACUCCCACUGCUUCACCUUCACCUGACUAGCCUAAU
ensembl:misc_RNA Y_RNA Y RNA